rnacentral:lncRNA from 1 species
AGAAAUCCAGAAAACUCAAAACGGCUAGAAAAAUAUCAGAAAACUACUGUUUCAUUAAACUUUGGCUUUGAAUCUGAAGGUUUUCAUUUUUUGAAAGGAACUUUUUGCUUCGUCUGGGGUUUAAAUUUGUUUGAAGUUUGUUUUGAAAGCUUGGUUUUGAAGUCAGCCUGGUUUCUGUUCGAUUGGAUAUGGUUUUGAAUUGUUUAAAAUCAAUUUUCUGGGUUCUGAUGGUGUUGACUCUUGAUACUAUUUUGCUGAUACCUCAUUUCCUGCUUCAGUUGUUUCAUUUCUAGGUACACGACCUUGUGACCCUUUUGGUUUUGAAGUGAACUUGAU